rnacentral:lncRNA from 1 species
GGACAAUGUAUGCAUCAUGGAACAUGUUAAGUUGACCAACUGGCUUCAAACUUGCUUCCUGUCUCUACUCUCAAGUUCUGAGAUCACAAUGCCUGGCCUCCCUCUUCCUUUAGCCCUUAGUUGACCUGCUGUUGUCUGGACUCUUAUACAUUGUAUCUUCACAAUACUUUAGAACGUGGCAAUGCUUCUGCCCAGCCCAGAGCAGUGAAAGUCCCCAGGUCUAACACACAGCCCUGACCAGCUCCUCUUUAGUCCCCAGCUUUCCCUUCCUUCACUUCAGACACAGCAGAGCAAUCCGACUCACCUACACCCAUCCUGUCCCAUAGGUUUCUACCACCCUUGUUCCCUCAUCCCCACAACCUUAACUGAAAUGAUUCCAAACGAAUGAACAAGCCAGAACUGGACUUUGUCAUGUAGAGGACAAUUGACCAAGCAGGAGGGUGCUCUGCUGCACUCCCCCACUGCUGCCUUUUAUAGGGUCCAAUCCUUUCUAAAGGGAUUAACUGGAGUCAGUGUGUAACAUUCAAAGCUUCUAAAUUAAGCCUGAGAGACAAGCACGUGAACAUGGGUAACUGACAUGCCAGUACAAGAGAAGGAAGUAACCAGAUACGAGCUGUGAGGUGCUGGGGAUUGUCCUAACACUGGCUGGUCUGAAACUCACUGUCUACCAGAUGAUGACUUUGAACUUCAGAUCCUCCUGCCUCCACAUCUUGAAUGCUACAUCACAGGCAUGCAUGCACCAUGACACCUUGUGUACGCAGUGCUGGAGAUGUGCAAGUGCCAACGCUUCUUGUGUGCCAGGGGAGCGUUCUACUGACUGAGCUGCCUCCCUAGGCCUUAAUUCCAUUUUUUGAAAAUUAAAAUAUUGGGAUCAUCCAAAAAUAAAAGACAACGAGUGUAAAUCCUCAAGAUACAUUG